AGGGCCCGGCUCCAUCGCAGGAGCAGCCGCCGUCACCACCACCGGUGUCGCCGCCUUCAUGCCUAGCCUGCGGGCGUUGUCCCUGCUGAAGAUCUGGGAGCUUAAGGCGGCUCCAACCAAUCACGGAUGGGCUUUGAGGGCGUGGACCCUCCCACUUCCGUCUUGCGCGGGGUCUCCCAGAGGAGGUGUGGUCCGCGAUCUCCGUUAGCUCCAAGGCGGAAGGAUCUGUCGUCCCACUGCAGUGUCGGGUUUCCGUUGUCAAAUAGGAAGUGAAGCCACGGGCCGCCAUCCUUAAGCAAUUCCCGCUAUCUCAGACUCCUGAACCACAGACGGGAUGGUUUAUAAAGAAUAGAGGUUCCAGAGGCAGGGAUAUUCAAGAACUGUGUGCCAGCCUUCCUGCUGCAUCUUGAUGCGAUAGAGAGAGUCACAUGCCCAGACAGACAAGCCUGCCUGCUCAGAUCUCACUUCUUCCUGUAAAGCCACUGGUGGUGUUUAUGGAAAGUCCAUGCUGGAAUAGAGCUAACAAGGACUGGGCUCUGCCCUCAUCGCCUCAUUUGAAGAACCUCCUUCUACAAGCCUCAUUUCAAUUAGCAACUCCAAUUUAAGGAUUGAGUUUCCAAGGCAUGGACUUUUGGGUGUCUGCUGAAACCCUGGCAAAGAAGGACGGCAUGCCUACCUCCCUUCUAGCCUCCCCUCCUCUUUCUCUCUCCUCCUUUCUGUUUAAAGCAGAGAUCAAGGAAUAAAAGCAAGGAUUGUUCUAUGGCAUGAAAA
rnacentral:lncRNA from 1 species